GUAAGAUGUUUGCAGUUUCCCAAGAUAUCUUGUCUCACUAUCACUGUGUUUUCUUUUCCUCUCUGCUGGCUGGAUUGGAUCCUCCCUGCCUUUCCCCUGUUCAAGCUGCAAAAGCCAUAUUCUUUGCACAUGCAGUAUGUGUCUUGGAGGUGACCUGUCCCUCCCUCUGUGCUGCUGGUGACAGGAAAGCCUCUGUCCCUCAGCAGAGCCAUCCCAAACACAUCUUCCUGUUAGCUCCUGCAGCACAGUGCAUGCUUGUGGGCAGGAAGAUCAGGUGUAUGUGUCCAGGGAAGAGAUGAGGAGCUAUGGACAGGGACCUUGGGUGGAAGCUAUCUCCUUGGCUCAGAAAGCCCUGCUCAUUUCUCCAGCUUUGCACCCUUGGUGCUCACUGUACUGAUAUAGGGCAAGAUUCUGCUCAGCUAUACCACUGGCCUUGCUGAAAGGAUGAUAAUGGCUGUCUUAUCCAAGUCCUUGUGCCUACACGUAAAAUGUAGCAGUUUUGGACUACCUUGAUUUUCAUGAGCUGUGUCUACAAACAAACAAACAAAACAAACAAACAAUCAAAAAAAGGCCAAAGGAAACUUAUAUGGGGGCAAAUAUGUUGUCUUCAUGAUACAAAGAAACAUCUCGUUUGCUGACUCAGCUAUUUGUGGUGCAAGGAAAGGGAAAGGAUUCAUAGCUAACAAACGAUUUCUAACAAAAAUCUAAAUUUUGAGGAACUCUUUGCCAGUGCCUUUCAUAUCGGCCCACAAAUUAAGCUGUAGACAUAUCUUUUUUUUAUGAAUAUGAAAAUUUCCUUAUAGAAAGAUUCCCCCUCACUCUGUGAUCGGGUGGGACAGAAUCAGAGCUCUUCGGAAACCUGUUGCAUGCGCAGCCCCCUUGGUGGGACUAUUUAAGCAGUCAGCAUCAUAAAGCAUCCCUAGAAAGGGGAUUGUUGCUGCUAUUUUAAAAAAUGUGUUAUUAUUUAGGAUAUCGCAGUUCCGAUUACUUCCAGUGUGAGCGAUGUUCCAGAGGCCAGACUUUGUGCAUGCCCUUGCACUCACUCUCCAAACACAAUUGUGUUGUUGUCAGAUAUGCAAUAGAGGAGGCACUCAUAUUCAGGAAUUGCAUGUGAAAAAUUUGAAUCAUGUUGGACAUUCAUAGAAAUAACAUAGAAAGAGGAGUUCAUCUUUUAAAACUGGGGGGAAAAAAAAGCCCUUUUUGAGUAGUGUUUUGAAAGCAUCCUCAGAAUGGACAAGGCAACCCUCGCAAAAUGCUGUCUGUAAAACAGCAAGAACAAGUCAGAUAAUAAUCUAUUGCUCUUCUUUAUGAGAGGUAUGCUGGGUAAGUAGAAACAAAAUGAACCACAGAAUUAUGCCUUUAUGGCAUCAGAAAUGUCACCCCUAGGAAAUUAAAAGCCGCGCACAAUUGCCAGCAUUAAUCCCUGCCCUGGAUGCUGCAAAAAGACCCCUGAGUUUCCCUUUGGCAGAACUUCAAUUUCUUGAUGAUUUUUUUGUGUGUGCACAGCAGUGCCCCAGUUGACACAUCUGGGUCUGUGCCCUGUCUGUACCUGCUCAGCAGGAAUGUAAACACGGCACAGACACUGCUGCCUUUAGCUGCAUGAUCUCCUCACAUCGGCCAAGGGGAAAUGAUAGCAGUGUUUCUUCUGUCUCUACACUGUGAGCGCAUGUUUUGUGGCAGAAGAAGGAAAUGGUACUUUUUGCAGGUGAGCUACAGAACAGAGAAUGAAAUCCUCGUGACUCAGAGAAAGGAGAAAUAACAUAAAGGAAAGGUUAAAUCUGCAAAAGUGCCAUUCAUUCACUGUUCAGCUAAAGAGGCAGUAAAGAAAGUCUCUCAGACAGAUAACGUGACUGCAGCCACGUUAUGUUGGCUUUUCUUUGUCUUGCCCGGUUAAAGCUAUCAUGCUACACACAAGGACUGAUAUGGAAAGGUCAGCUACAUUGCUUAGGUGAGAACAGAGCAGCACUAGGGCAUUUCAGCAUGUUGCAGAUGCCUACCAGACAAGGGAACUGCUGAGAGUUCACAAAGAACACAUCUCGUCAAAGCUCAGUAAUGUGUCUGGGAAAUCUUGCUAAAUUUACCAGUGUUUCUUGCUUGAACUGUGUCCUGAUGUUCAAAGGAAGGCUCUGAGUAAGGACAUCUAUUGCCCAUUUCUAAUUCUGGCUACUAAUUUUGAAAAAAAAUCACUUUUCCUCAUGUCUGACUUCUCAGUAAUUUCAGAGUACAUGUGUGAAUAUACAUGUGGUCAUAUAAAAGACUUUUGUAACUGUUGGCAAAGAGCCUUUUUUCCUAUGGAACUUGGGAGAUGCUUGUGGAAGAGCCGGAAACAUAUCUUGUGUUUUACUUCUUUGUCCUUUGAAGACAGGAGUACUGCAGGAAAUACAGCUACCAGUUUCUGCUUCACAGUGCUUUUCUUCACUGUGCCAGUGCUAUGGCAGUAAUUAAAAUGACAGAUAAAUAACAUUCACGUUUGUUCUCCAAGCCCAGCAGUGGGAAAACUCUGCACAGCCCAAGUUAGAGCUGCAUGAACUGCAUUGACCCCUGCCUACACCACUUCAUCUACCUUAUGGGAGGGUUAUGUAGUUGAUUAUUAUUGCUAUUUGGAACACGGGGUUUGUUUAAUGCAGCAUUAGUGAGAGAAAAAAAACAUGUACUUCUCUGGGCAUACUCCUGUUCCUGCAAGGACAAGAGAACUUAGCUUCUUUUCAAUGGGAAUCCUGCUGUUUAUUUAAUAGCAGGUGGGAUUAAACCCUGCAAUAGGUCAAAGUGGGAGGAUCUGGAGUGACAUUCAGGACAUAUGUAAGCAUUUACUGGUGUGGUGUCCAGGUUCUCUAUGCACCACCAUGGUGUUUUGUUUUUGAGAGCGUGGGGAGGAGCAGAUAGCACGUGCAGCCUUGUUUCUUCAGUAUCAACAAGAAGCAACUCAGUUCAUCCUGUCAGAGGGAGAGCAGUUGGCGUAACUUAUCCAGCAGAACAGCUGAUACUGUGAAAUGUAUCUGAGAAUUAGUCAAACAGACCAAGAGUGAGUACAGCCUGCGGUUUAAUGACAGCUGAGCAAAGGUUCUCAUUGUACUAACAACAUCCUGUGUCUCUGUGGCAGUGAUGUGGUAUAUGCACACGUACUCCUUUGCAGUCAAUAACUUCUCAUCAGAUUUUCACACCGGCUGAUUUGGCUGUUAUUUAACAAGUGUGUUUUCCUCUUCCUGCCUUGCGUUUAUUUUUGUUGCUGUUGUUGCAGAAGUAAAAUCAUCUCACAUUUUCUCAGAAAUUCUUCAGAGUGCUGCUAAUGUUUUGCUUGAUGUUUUGCUGAAAGAGGUUUUGCAGGGACUUUUUAAAUGUCACAUCUGUUCUCAAAGUGCAUUUACUUAAUUGGCGUACAGUGCUGGAUGGCAUUCAGUACCUACACACGUACCAGCUAGGUACAAAGCUGCAUGGCUUGUCAGAGCAUACCUGAAAAAGAAACAUGAGCUCAGCUUCCUCUAGAAGUGUGGCAAGCUCUGAUGAUAUGGGAGAUAGCACAGCAGGGUGAUGCUCAUGGCAAGUGAUGGACACAGGUCGUGCUUGGUGGUGCCAAACAGAAGAAGAGGAAAUCUUUUCCAUGAAAAAAAAAAUCCUCUUACAUUUGGUGACCUUUCUGCCUGAAUAAAAACAAAAUCAAUAGUGUUAACAUCUCCUGUAAUGUUUGAUCUUUUCUUAUGUCCUUGAGAUUUCUUACGCAUAGGUAUUACAUUAUGUAAUAUAUUUUAUAUUUAGCAUACAAAUGAUGAAACGCAGCUUUCCCCAAUACCUCUUAUAGUAGAUAUCAACAUGCUUAAUCAGUGAGAUCAUCUAUCAUCCCCAUUUAAAGGGCUGGGAAACAGAGAAAAAUAAAAUGGUGUGCCACACAGGCCAGAAAUGCAGUGGCAAAGCCUGGAAUAAAAUUAGGUCUCAUUAGUUGUAGCCCAGUGGUCUCUUUGCUAGGAAAUGAUGCCUCCUUAUUUUAUAGUACAAAAAUAUAAAAACAUAGAGCAGCAGCACUGAAUAUAUUAGAAAAGGCUUGAAAGAAAGCAGUGGGAAAAUGUAAAAUCACACAAUAAAUUUGGAAACAAAACCUCUUCUGAAAGAAAAGGCAAAACGAUCUGUUCAAGUAAUGACUUUCACAUUCCACUGUGCUUGUUUUUCCGAAAACAAUCCACGAUUCCCAUAGAUUCCUCUAUAUUCUGCAAUCUAGUACUGAUAGAAGUGUGUUUUUUCAUUGGAAAAAUGUUUUUUUUUUUGACCGUUUUCACUUGCUGUAGAGGAAGAGAAGGAAAGUACGUAAAGCCAGCAGGACUGCUGGGAGGCCAGUAGGUUUUUCUUUUUCUAUGUUUUUCUUUUAUUUUGUGAGCUUUACAAAUGUGCUGUAAGCUUAGUUUAUGCUUCAAACGCAUUUUGUCUGGCAAAUCAUAACUGAUGCAAUAUGAUUUGAAAGUCUCCGCCAUCAUGCAGAAAUUACAAUUCUCUCCCCAGGGACCUUCCCCAAAACAUAAAGCAGAGCCUUCCUCCUCAUUAAAACAUUUUAUUGUGUGAAAAAUGACAAUGAGCCGUAAAAUCUGGAGGGAAAUGAUUGCUGCACACUAACAUAUGCUCAACGAUUUCAAUACCAGAGCGUGUGGAGGCUGUCAGUUGCACUUCAAGAUGAGGAAAUGAGCUUCUUGAUCUUGUCCGGAUGGAGGGCAAUUUAGAGGGACAUUGCAAGCAGAGCAGUUGGGCCCUGAAUGCCUUUUUUCAACACAGCAGCAGGAUAUCCAGCAAUCAGCAGUACGACGGCACUAGUUUGUUUUGUUUGCAAAAGCAUGUCUUACUGUCCCUUCGCUAUUCCUGCUUCACUUUUCUUAAAGCCGAUGAGAAUAAUUGUGGCUGUUAUUAUUAUGUACAAAAACGGCACAGAAAGAAGAUAAAGGUUGCCUACUCAGGCACUCAGAAGUUAGAAAAUAAUGGGAUUACUGUUGCCUUGACAACAUUUCCCUCUCCUUCCCCUGCCCCCAGUUUCAUUCCAGGAAACGGCUGAGGCACUUUGCUGAAACUCUGCAAAAUAAUUAAAUAAAAGAUUCAGCCAAAGAGAGACACCUGGCUUGGAAAACUUCCCCCUCCACACAUCUGACAAAACGAUAAACAGAUGAAAAGCAGGAUUUUUUGAACAGAAGAAGAAAGCUGUUUCUGGAGCAUAUCCCUUUGUUCUGCAAGGCACAGGAUCGUGUACACAGCAGCAGGAGGGGGCUCAGUUUCCUGCUGCUGCUCAUGGGAGGAGGACUUCCCACCCCAGGAAAGAGAAGACCAGGGGAAACUUGAGAAGGCUGCGAUGACACUGGAGGCACAGCUUCAGGGCUUUUAGCACUAUGCGUCACAUUCGUGUGACCCAUGACCAACAUGUAAUGUUGUGCCUGACGCACGUGAAGAGCUCUGCCUCUCUGGAGAGCGUCACAGAGGCUGCAGGGGUCCGGAGCUGGCAGCCCCCUGGGGCAGACGACAGCACCCUGUGACACCUGGUGCGUCAUCUGCAGCUGAGCUCCCAGUAAGGUCAGGCAGGAGACUGAUAAAUGACCCCACCUUGUCAACACCACCGUCAUUAGUGCUGUUAUCACCCUGCGAAUGGGAACGUGAAGGAAUUCAUAUCCCUGCCCUUGCCAAAGCUGGAGAGCAAGUGGGAACAGGAGCUGUGGAGGUGACUGUUCACACCACUUACAUUCUCCUGCAAAGCAGCACAAUGUUUGGUUUGUUAACCAAAGGGAUUUUGUAGCUGAUCAUUAAAUAUUAUUUCAGAUUAAUGGAAUUUAUAGGCUGUCUGAUGACGAUGAGAUUUCUUUCAAAGGAGGGACAAAAGACUUCAGCAUGCACUGGCAUGGCUAGAACACUAACAAAUCACUAGCGUGGUGGAAAGCCCAGAAAUGCUCUCAUGCCCCUUUUCUCAUGCAGCCUGUCUGAACUAACAGCACAUCCAAAAGCGGCAGGUAAUGUAGCCUGCACAGGGGCUGGAAAUGGACCCACCUGACCACGUUGAUUUUGACAAGUAACUUGACAGCACUGUGAGUGGCAGGAGCAGUGUGAUUUAUUCAAAAGUUGACUACUCUGGAAAAAAAAAAAAGAAACACAACUAAAUUUGCAUAUAAUGAGAUGCAUUUUAAAAUCAAAACAAUUAACAGCUAUGUUAUUUUUUCUUCCUUUGCUUUUGCUUGGAGCACGGUUAACCCUGAUGCUUAAAAUUCCCUUUGAAUGCCUUUUGGUGGGAAUCUGAUGGGAUGCAGGGAGCCUGGCAGCCCCUCCAAAUACCUCCAUGUACAACCAGCAGUGUUGGUGGAGUCUCGUCAGCACAUGGGAGACAUAAGGAGCUGGCCAAUCUGGCCCAUCAAGUCCUGGUUUGCAAACUCUGCUCAACUAAGUGAUACCAACAAUUGGAUCCACAGGUCUUGACUGGUCUGUUUGUGAAAAUUAUCUAAAGUGACAAGCAAGGUCUCUCACGACUGACUCAUAUAAGGUGACUGGCUCAUUCUUGUAUGGGGUGUGCUGGGUGUUACAGCUAUUGCUGACCUCAGACUGAGCACUGUGGCCUUUUGGUUCAAAAACAUAUGCUUCAAUGAGAUGCUCUGUGAGUUUGGUAACCUCGGUAUUCUAUGAGAAGUGUUUGAUUUCACAGAGGAAAGCCUAAGGACACUUGAAAUGUCUUGUUUCUGCAACUCUGAACCAGUUUCUUGUCAUCAGGUAACACCUGGUGCUUUUGUCAGUGCUAAGCAGCACGUUACAUUCUAUACUCUAAAAUGUUUGGAUCAGUUAUGCAUGGAUGCAAGAAAAUAAAACCCCGCUGUAUAUCUUUGCUUACUAUCUGUCCUCUGUCCCUGUCAUUCUAACACGCAUUUCAAAAGAAGACAGUGCUCUGCUUUCCAGUCAAAAUAUUAAAGAAUGCUUCUAAAAUACUUUAGUUAUAAAUAUGAAAAUGUUAUGUAAUGUGAGAUAUGCUACAGACUGCAGCUUGCGUAAUACAAAGGAGCAACCUCAGCAGAGAAGUCCAGAUGUACACUGUCUAAAAAUCUGGCCUAUAAAUUGGUGGUUAAUAAACACGGAAUAAUGUAUCAGGUAUUCAGCUAGGAGCACCAGGCUGCUAACAUCUGCCGUGAAGUGAAACUGGUUGUUCUCAACUCAGUACAUACAUGUGCUUUCCUGUACAUUCACACAGAGAGCUGGAUAGUGGCUCUAUAGGUGGCCAAAACAAAAGCUUUCUCCAACAAAGGGGAAUGAUCUGUGAUGGAAUUAUCUCUGGUAUUGGUACUGCAGGUUCCCUCCAGCACUGUGAUAGUUUUGAAAGCAUAAUGCAGACUGGUCUUGAGUAAGGACUAUUUUUUGCAACAGAACAACACAUGAAAAUCUAAAUCAUGCUGUAAAUUUGGGAACAAAAUGCACUUAAUCAGGACAUAUAGCCUGGGAAAUGCUCUCUGUUGUAUUUCACACUGAUGAGAGCUUCUCUUGAUUUGAUUUGUGUGUAGUGGAGCUUCACCAGAAAGAUUACAGGAAGUCUUAGGGCAAAUCUGCAGCUGAGACAUAGGUGUAGAGGGAUUUUCAAUCAGAAUAUCACUGACAAAAAUGUUUUGGCUAAAAUUAUUUUCCCUUACUGUGACUUCUGUCAGGGAAGACAGCAGUGUAGCACUGUCAUGGCACCCAACAGCAAAGAAUGCCACCACAAAGGAAAAUAGUAUUUACACUGAAAGGGAAAAAUUAGUUAAUGACCUGGUUUAAAACAGGAAACAAGGUGUCACGUUCUGUUCUUUGAAAGUAAAAAUGAUAAGAGCUUUGAUGAGUGGACACCAUAAUAAGGGCCUUGGUUUUAUGUCUCAUCCAGGUGCAGCUCCUCACCCUAUACAGCCAUCCAUCCAUUUCAGCACAGAGCAGUCCUUUUUUUCAUCCUGGACCACAGGAAGGGAUGUUGCCAGGCAGGGAACUUGUUCCCUCUGGCACAUGCUGUUAUUACUCCUCCUGGACAGCAUUUUCUUCCUCUCUUUUUCUAUUUCUUUCCUGCUUUUAGGUUCAGCAAUCCCUUUUUUACAUCUAGAUCAAACUGUCUUCCCUGUGAUGCUGUAGGUGGGACUCAGCUCUCACAAGGCCAAAAGAGCUGUGGGUCCCCCACAGGACAGGACCAGAAAGGCAAAGGGGCAAUGUUCCUACCCACUGGUGCUAUUGCUCAGGGAUGUCCCUGGUUUCUGCACUUAUAUCUAAAUCUACACUGGAGGCUCCAAGCCGGAGCCCAGUCACUUCACAUGGAGUUGAAAUCAUUAAGGUGCACAUUUCAGUAUUGUCAGGAUUUGGGAACAAUUACCCAUCUGUUGUUAAAUCUAAUAGCAAUUCUGUUUCACAGUCUGUUGUAAUUUACACCCUGGUUAUUAUCAUAACUGAAUAAAUGACUCUGGCAUGUCUUUGAACUCCCAGCCCUUUGUUGCCACCUCCCAGAGGAGAGGCAGUUACCUGCCAUAUAAUUGCUCUUAAAGUAUCUAAGAGCAAUGUCACACAAACUUAAAUUGCUGCCAAAGGUUUGCUUGUUUGACUUUGUCCGCAAAGGGGUGUGUGUGUUUGUACAGCAAGUCACGCUUGUCAGCUGGGAGGAAGUAAACACCUGCUGGGAAACAGUUGGAGCAGAUUUUAAGCUUCUUUUCCAGUGCUCUCACCAUGUGGCUGCUCCAUAUCCAUGUUGGUGCAAGGUCAGCAAGGCUGGAUCUGAUCACCGCCGUCUGCUGCU
ensembl:lncRNA